rnacentral:rRNA from 1 species
AAGUCCCGCAACGAGCGCAACCCUUAGUCAUUAGUUGCUACAUUCAGUUGGGCACUCUAAUGAGACUGCCGGUGACAAGCCGGAGGAAGUGGGGAUGACGUCAAGUCCUCAUGGCCCUUAUAGGUGGGGCUACACACGUCAUACAAUGGCUGGUACAAAGGGUUGCCAACCCGCGAGGGGGAGCCAAUCCCAUAAAGCCAGUCGUAGUCCGGAUCGUAGUCUGCAACUCGACUACGUGAAGUCGGAAUCGCUAGUAAUCGUGGAUCAGAAUGUCACGGUGAAUACGUUCCCGGGUCUU